AAACGUAGGUCCCGAGCGUUGUUCGGAUUCACUGGGUGUAAAGGGCGCGUAGGUGGUUGUCUGUGUCUCAUGUGAAAACUCAGGGCUCAACUCUGAGAUUGCGUGGGAAACUAGGCAGCUAGAGGACGGUAGAGGGGAGUGGAAUUCCCGGUGUAGCGGUAAAAUGCGUAGAUAUCGGGAGGAACACCGGUGGCGAAGGCGGCUCUCUGGGCCGAUCCUGACGCUGAGGCGCGAAAGCUAGGGGAGCGAACCGGAUUAGAUACUCGGGUAGUCCUAGCCGUAAACGAUGGGUGCUAGGUGUUGGGGGGUAAAGACCCUUCAGUGCCGAAGCCAACGCGAUAAGCAUCCCACCUGGGGAGUACGGCCGCAAGGUUGAAACUCAAAUGAAUUGGCGGGG
rnacentral:rRNA from 1 species